UUAUCUCAGGAUCCUCAGAUGUGUGCACACGCAUCUCUUAGCCAAGAUGGAGUCUACUGAAAGGGCUUACAGGUAGAACAUUUCUUGGCAUCACUCCUCAUUUGACCUCCAAGGAGCCUUUCUGCACAUGUGUGGCCAGGGAGGUCUCCUGACUUUGAGAAUGAGAAAUAUGUGGUCUGGGCUGGGCCCAGCCUUUCUUAAUUGUCCUGCUAUUCCCAUCUUGGAGUUUCAGUCCACAAUGAAUGAAUCUCCAAUCACUUUACCCUGAGGAGGGCACAGCUACCUCCAUCUCACAGGAAUUUACAAUCUCUCAAGAAGGAAACAGAAAUACAAAUUAUUUAUUUUACUAGUGUGUAAAUUAUAAGAAGAUUCAUUAAAAAGUGGGGAAAAAGCAGUGGAAGAGAGUCAAAUGGAAUAUUGAUUCUUCAAGGAAGUGGCUCAUGUUCAAUUUUGCAGUGACCUGAAAUAAAUCACAGACAUAAAGUUAUUAAACUCAGUGAGUCAUGUGCUUGUGAAUGUAGUACAUCAUGAGAAACGCUGGACUGGAAGAAGCACAAGCUGGAAUCAAGAUUGCCAGGGAGAA